rnacentral:rRNA from 1 species
UACAGAGGGUGCGAGCGUUGUCCGGAAUCACUGGGCGUAAAGGGCGCGUAGGCGGCCUGGCAAGUCUGUGGUGAAAGCUCAGGGCUUAACUCUGAGUCGGCCACGGAUACUGUUGGGCUCGAGUCUGGUAGAGGCAGAUGGAAUUCCGGGUGUAGCGGUGGAAUGCGUAGAGAUCCGGAAGAACACCGGUGGCGAAGGCGGUCUGCUGGGCCAGAACUGACGCUGAGGCGCGACAGCGUGGGGAGCAAACAGG